GAUGAAGAACGUAGUGAAAUGCGAUAAGUAAUGUGAAUUGCAGAAUUCAGUGAAUCAUCGAAUCUUUGAACGCACCUUGCGCUCCUUGGUAUUCCGAGGAGCAUGCCUGUUUGAGUGUCAUUAAAUUCUCAACCCACCCAGCUUUGUAAAUGAGUUGGUGUGUGGCUUGGAUAGUGGGGGUUUGUGCAGGCCUUGAAUAAAGGUCAGCUCCCCUGAAAUGUAUUAGCGGAACGGUUUGCGAUCUGUCACUGGUGUGAUAAUUAUCUAUGCCA
rnacentral:misc_RNA from 1 species